rnacentral:lncRNA from 1 species
GUGGGUGAAGUUGUUGUGAAGAUGAUGUUGAGUUCUAGGCGUACGCAACCCCCAGUCAUUUGCCUAUGAAGUUUGGAGUCUCUGUUUCCAAAGUUUAAGCUGUAAAUUUCUUAUAGUCUUGUAAGUCUUUAUUUGUAUGUUUUUACGUGAUACUGUUGCUGUUAUUCACUAAUGAUGUUACUAUAGUAUGAAACUAGAUCCUGGUAUACAUAUAGGUAACACUUGAUUUUUUUCCUUAAAACCGGGUGUGACAUGUUUGCAUUGCUCAUCGACAUGUGUCAAAUAAAGCUCUCCAUCAGAGAGACUGCAUCUUGUAG